rnacentral:rRNA from 1 species
GACGAACGCUGGCGGCGUGCUUAACACAUGCAAGUCGAACGGUAAGGCUCCAGCUUGCUGGGGUACACGAGUGGCGAACGGGUGAGUAACACGUGGGUGACCUGCCCUGCACUUCGGGAUAAGCCUGGGAAACUGGGUCUAAUACCGGAUAGGACCGCACCGUGAGGGUGUGGUGGAAAGUUUUUUCGGUGUGGGAUGGGCCCGCGGCCUAUCAGCUUGUUGGUGGGGUAAUGGCCUACCAAGGCGGCGACGGGUAGCCGGCCUGAGAGGGUGGACGGCCACAUUGGGACUGAGACACGGCCCAGACUCCUACGGGAGGCAGCAGUGGGGAAUAUUGCACAAUGGGCGGAAGCCUGAUGCAGCGACGCCGCGUGGGGGAUGACGGCCUUCGGGUUGUAAACUCCUUUCACCAUCGACGAAGGGUUUCUGACGGUAGAUGGAGAAGAAGCACCGGCUAACUACGUGCCAGCAGCCGCGGUAAUACGUAGGGUGCGAGCGUUGUCCGGAAUUACUGGGCGUAAAGAGCUCGUAGGUGGUUUGUCGCGUCGUCUGUGAAAUUCCGGGGCUUAACUCCGGGCGUGCAGGCGAUACGGGCAUAACUUGAGUACUGUAGGGGAGACUGGAAUUCCUGGUGUAGCGGUGAAAUGCGCAGAUAUCAGGAGGAACACCGGUGGCGAAGGCGGGUCUCUGGGCAGUAACUGACGCUGAGGAGCGAAAGCAUGGGGAGCGAACAGGAUUAGAUACCCUGGUAGUCCAUGCCGUAAACGGUGGGCGCUAGGUGUGGGUUUCCUUCCACGGGAUCCGUGCCGUAGCUAACGCAUUAAGCGCCCCGCCUGGGGAGUACGGCCGCAAGGCUAAAACUCAAAGGAAUUGACGGGGGCCCGCACAAGCGGCGGAGCAUGUGGAUUAAUUCGAUGCAACGCGAAGAACCUUACCUGGGCUUGACAUAUACAGAAUCGCGCCAGAGAUGGUGUUCCCCUUGUGGCUUGUAUACAGGUGGUGCAUGGUUGUCGUCAGCUCGUGUCGUGAGAUGUUGGGUUAAGUCCCGCAACGAGCGCAACCCUUGUCUUAUGUUGCCAGCACGUUGUGGUGGGGACUCGUAAGAAACUGCCGGGGUUAACUCGGAGGAAGGUGGGGAUGACGUCAAAUCAUCAUGCCCCUUAUGUCCAGGGCUUCACACAUGCUACAAUGGUCGGUACAGUGGGUUGCCAGUCCGUGAGGGCGAGCUAAUCCCGCAAAGCCGGUCUCAGUUCGGAUCGGGGUCUGCAACUCGACCCCGUGAAGUCGGAGUCGCUAGUAAUCGCAGAUCAGCAACGCUGCGGUGAAUACGUUCCCGGGCCU